rnacentral:rRNA from 1 species
AUGGAGCCGGCGGUGGAGAGGAAGGUGCCCGAGCAGGAGGAGCAGCUGCAGCCGUCGCACGCCCGGGCCGAGGACGCGCCGCCCGCCGCCGUCGAGGAGGAGGACGAGGCGGAGGCGGAGGAGAGCGAGCGCCGCAGCCGCGAGCUCAAGGCCGGCCUCCAUCCCCUUAGGCGCAAGCUCGUGCUCUGGUACACCCGCCGGACGCCCGGGACGAGGUCGCAGUCGUACGAGGACAACAUCAAAAAGAUCGUCGAUUUCAGCACUGUCGAGUCGUUCUGGGUUUGCUACUGCCACCUCGCACGCCCGUCCUCCCUCCCGAGCCCCACGGACCUGCAUCUUUUCAAAGAGGGUGUCCGUCCACUCUGGGAGGAUCCUGCAAAUCGGAAUGGUGGCAAGUGGAUUAUACGGUUCAAGAAGGCUGUUUCUGGGCGUUUCUGGGAGGAUUUGGUGCUGGUUCUAGUGGGUGAUCAACUUGAUUAUAGUGAUGAUGUUUGUGGCAUUGUGCUAAGUUGUCGUUUCAAUGAAGACAUCCUGAGCGUCUGGAAUCGGAAUGCAUCAGACCAACAGGCUGUGAUGACAUUAAGAGACUCGAUUAAGAGGCACUUGAAGCUGCCACACACCUAUCUGAUGGAGUACAAGCCACAUGACGCCUCGCUGCGAGACAACUCGUCCUACAGGAACACAUGGCUGAGAGGUUAA